CCUAAGGAAGGCCGAGCUGCCCUCCGUGGGAAUCGCUCAGAUGCCCCAAGAUGUCCGUUGGGAAGCUCCCAGGACAGCACUUUUUAUACAGAGGACACCCCCUCGGCCCCACGUCCUUAGAGGCCAGAGCACAUCUGAAAACUGCAAUCACAGCCGUCCGCUGGAAAAACGUUUCGAAGCACAGUGGCCAGCGAGCGAGCACGUGGCUGCUCCCUGUUGCAUGUCAAAUCCACACAGAUGUCAGCGGCAGCUGCUCUGCAGCCCAGCCCUGGGCCUGGGUGGGUUCAUGUCCAAUCUUGUUCGAUCACUAGAUGAUUCUAACAUCGAAAUAAACCUUUUCUCUGGCCGGGCGCGGUGACUCACACCUGUCAUCCCAGAACUUUGGGAGGCUGAGGCGGGUGGAUCACCUGAGGUCAGGAGUUCGAGACCAGCCUGGCCAACAUGGCAAAACCUCGUCUCUACUAAAACUACAAAAAUUAGCCAGGCAUGGUGGCGGAUGCCUGUAAUCCCAGCUACUCGGGAGGCUGAGGAAGGAGAAUCGCUUGAACCCAAGAGGUGGAGGUGGCAGUGAGCUGAGAUCGUGCCAUUGCACUCCAGCCUGGGUGACAAGAGUGAA
rnacentral:lncRNA from 1 species